AACAUUUGACUCACCUGGGGCGGUCCCGGGAAAGGAAUAGCUCUACUGGGUCCAGUCUUGCUUUAUCCACAGGAUGCUUCAUUUAAUUUCUUUGCUGGGCCGAGGGCAGGACUCAGUGGAGACCUGACUUAGUCCUGGGAAUCUGCUGUUGUCUUGGCCUAUUUCACUUCCUGGCUCCUGGGACAUGCCAGGAGGGCCUGGUAGGUGGUGUCAGACUGGAGGAGUCAGGAAACUUGCCACUGAUUUACUGUGAAAGUUCAGAACCUCUAAGCACUGGACCUGGACCAAUCAGGGCUCUGCUACUUGUGACUUGUGUGACCCUAGAAUCUUCAGAACAGAACCAAUUCCACCUCUACAAGUCAUAUUUUUUCUCAUUUAAAUCUUUAAUACCCUUUGAAGACAUUAAAAGUAGUAAAGGAAUAUCUUCUUUAAUUAGAUCAUCAUAAAUAUAGUUCCUUCUAAAUGUUUAAGCAAUUUUAUCUUUCUAUAUGCCUCCAUACUUGUGCUUGUAUUUGAAAAUUUAUACAUGGCUCUGGUCUUUGAUCAGAAAUGCUUAAAAAUCCUUUAUUUCAUUAAAGACCUUUUUCUCUUUGUAGGACUAUAUGCAAUUAUUCUUAGUUGUUAAGUCCCAUAUCUUUUGUUUGUGGAAAAUUAUAUUCCAAUAUCUCCUCUCUUUUGUGGUCAAAGCUAAUAGAUCUUGUAUAAUCCUGAUUGUGAUACUUGGAAUUCUU
rnacentral:lncRNA from 1 species